GAUGAACGCUAGCUACAGGCUUAACACAUGCAAGUCGAGAGGAAACGAUAGAGAAAGCUUGCUUUUUCUAGGCGUCGACCGGCGCACGGGUGAGUAACGCGUAUCCAACCUGCCCACCACUUGGGGAUAACCUUGCGAAAGUAAGACUAAUACCCAAUGAUAUCUCUAGAAGACAUCUGAAAGGGAUUAAAGAUUUAUCGGUGAUGGAUGGGGAUGCGUCUGAUUAGCUUGUUGGCGGGGUAACGGCCCACCAAGGCGACGAUCAGUAGGGGUUCUGAGGGGAAGGUCCCCCACACUGGAACUGAGACGCGGUCCAAACUCCUACGGGAGGCAGCAGUGAGGAAUAUUGGUCAAUGGGCGAGAGCCUGAACCAGCCAAGUAGCGUGCAGGAUGACGGCCCUAUGGGUUGUAAACUGCUUUUAUAAGGGAAUAAAGUGAGUCUCGUGAGACUUUUUGCAUGUACCUUAUGAAUAAGGACCGGCUAAUUCCGUGCCAGCAGCCGCCGUAA
rnacentral:rRNA from 1 species